UAUAUAUAUGUUAUUUACCGGCUGCGAGGUCCGGAUGAGAAAAACUGUGCCCGAGGUCUGGAAAACGGCCCGAGCCCGAAGGGCGAGGGACGUUUUCAAGACCGAGGGCACAGUUUUUCUCAUCCGGACCGACGCUGCCGGUAAAUAACGUGUUUAUU